rnacentral:rRNA from 1 species
UACGAAGGGUGCUAGCGUUGUUCGGAAUUACUGGGCGUAAAGAGCGCGUAGGCGGUUAUACAAGUCAGGGGUGAAAUCCCGGAGCUUAACUCCGGAACUGCCUUUGAAACUGUAUAGCUGGAGUGUGUGAGGGGAUAGCGGAAUUCCUAAUGUAGAGGUGAAAUUCGUAGAUAUUAGGAGGAACACCGGUGGCGAAGGCGGCUAUCUGGCACACAACUGACGCUGAGGCGCGAAAGCGUGGGGAUCAAACAGG